GUGGGGAAUAUUGGACAAUGGGCGCAAGCCUGAUCCAGCAAUGCCGCGUGGGUGAAGAAGGCCUUCGGGUUGUAAAGCCCUUUUGUACGGAAAGAAAUCCUGGUGGUUAAUACCCGCCGGGGAUGACGGUACCGUAAGAAUAAGCACCGGCUAACUUCGUGCCAGCAGCCGCGGUAAUACGAAGGGUGCAAGCGUUAAUCGGAAUUACUGGGCGUAAAGCGUGCGUAGGUGGUUUCUUAAGUCUGUCGUGAAAGCCCUGGGCUCAACCUGGGAAUGGCGAUGGAUACUGGGAGGCUAGAGUGCGGUAGAGGAUGGCGGAAUUCCCGGUGUAGCGGUGAAAUGCGUAGAGAUCGGGAGGAACAUCUGUGGCGAAGGCGGCCAUCUGGACCAGCACUGACACUGAGGCACGAAAGCGUGGGGAGCAAACAGGAUUAGAAACCCCGGUAGUCC
rnacentral:rRNA from 1 species